rnacentral:rRNA from 1 species
AGAGAGAGACAUGCGCGCAUAUCAAUAAGCGGAGGAAAAGAAACUAACAAGGAUUCCCUUAGUAACGGCGAGUGAAGCGGGAAGAGCUCAAAUUUGAAAUCUUCAAGGUUUUACCUUGACGAAUUGUAGUUUAAAGAAGUGUUUUUCUGCUGAAGUUUUGGUAAAAGUUCUUUGGAAUAGGACAUCAUAGAGGGUGAGAAUCCCGUAUUUGACCAUUAUUUUCAGCUUUGUGAUACACCUUCAAAGAGUCGGAUUGUUUGGGAAUGCAGUCCAAAAUGGGUGGUAAAUUUCAUCUAAAGCUAAAUAUUGGCGAGAGACCGAUAGCGAACAAGUACCGUGAGGGAAAGAUGAAAAGAACUUUGAAAAGAGAGUUAAACAGUACGUGAAAUUGUCAAAAGGGAAGCGUUUGACACCAGUGUUGUUUUUCUCGAAAAUCAAUUAAAAAUGGCUCGAUUUUGUAUUGUUGAGACCUUAAAAGCUCACUGUACAUUUUUUCGUGUCUUUUUUAAUGCACUUUUCGUUUAACAAGUCAACAUCAGUUUCUUUUGUUGUAAAAGGGUCAUUGGAGGGUGGCUUUCUUUUCGGAGAAAGUGUUUAUAGCCUUUGGCCUCUGCAAUCGGAGAGACUGAGGUCUGCAGCGUAGACUCUUCGGGGUUAGAUACAUUUGUGCUAAGUUAUAGCUUUUUUAUAGACAACUUGUUGACUAUAAUUAGUCUUGUAGCUUACUCGCUUAUGCUAUUUUACCUACGCUUAGGAUGUUGAAGAUGUAGCACAUCAU